rnacentral:rRNA from 1 species
CCUACGGGAGGCAGCAGUGAGGAAUAUUGGUCAAUGGGCGCGAGCCUGAACCAGCCAAGUAGCGUGAAGGAUGACUGCCCUAUGGGUCGUAAACUUCUUUUAUAUUAGAAUAAAGUGCAGUAUGUAUACUGUUUUGUAUGUAUAAUAUGAAUAAGGAUCGGCUAACUCCGUGCCAGCAGCCGCGGUAAUACGGAGGAUCCGAGCGUUAUCCGGAUUUAUUGGGUUUAAAGGGAGCGUAGGUGGACUGGUAAGUCAGUUGUGAAAGUUUGCGGCUCAACCGUAAAAUUGCAGUUGAUACUGUCAGUCUUGAGUACAGUAGAGGUGGGCGGAAUUCGUGGUGUAGCGGUGAAAUGCUUAGAUAUCACGAAGAACUCCGAUUGCGAAGGCAGCUCACUGGACUGCAACUGACACUGAUGCUCGAAAGUGUGGGUAUCAAACAG